rnacentral:pre_miRNA from 1 species
GUAAGGGUACUCUCAUCACCAAUGUAAAUUAAUAUGUAGCAAACUUUGGUGUGGGAGUCCUACCCCUUUU